GUGCCAGCAGCCGCGGUAAUACGUAGGUGGCAAGCGUUGUCCGGAUUUACUGGGCGUAAAGGGAGCGUAGGUGGAUAUUUAAGUGGGAUGUGAAAUACUCGGGCUUAACCUGAGUGCUGCAUUCCAAACUGGAUAUCUAGAGUGCAGGAGAGGAAAGUAGAAUUCCUAGUGUAGCGGUGAAAUGCGUAGAGAUUAGGAAGAAUACCAGUGGCGAAGGCGACUUUCUGGACUGUAACUGACACUGAGGCUCGAAAGCGUGGGGAGCAAACAGGAUUAGAAACCCCGGUAGUCCA
rnacentral:rRNA from 1 species